rnacentral:rRNA from 1 species
AGUGAACGCUGGCGGUAGGCCUAACACAUGCAAGUCGAACGGCAGCACAGUAAGAGCUUGCUCUUACGGGUGGCGAGUGGCGGACGGGUGAGGAAUACAUCGUAAUCUACUUUUUCGUGGGGGAUAACGUAGUGAAACUUACGCUAAUACCGCAUACGCCCUACGGGUGAAAUCAGGGGAUCUUCGGACCUUGUGCGAUUGAAUGAGCCGAUGUCGGAUUAGCUAGUUGUCGGGGUAAAGGCCCACCAAGGCGACGAUCCGUAGCUGGUCUGAGAGGAUGGUCAGCCACACUGGAAGUGAGACACGGUCCAGACUCCUACGGGAGGCAGCAGUGGGGAAUAUUGGACAAUGGGCGCAAGCAUGAUCCAGCCAUACCGCGUGGGUGAAGAAGGCCUUCGGGUUGUAAAGCCCUUUUGUUGGGAAAGAAAAGCAGCAGGUUAAUACCCCGCUGUUCUGACGGUACCCAAAGAAUAAGCACCGGCUAACUUCGUG